rfam:Chloroflexus aurantiacus J-10-fl, complete genome.
CAGCGUGUAUGAGGGAGAUCGGGGAGCCGGGCUGAGAGGAUGGUCGCUAUCCACCAUCGACCUCGUGAACCUGCUCUGGGUAAUGCCAGCGAAGGGAAUACACGGUGGUUUAUG